CCGCUGGCAACAUCGGUCCAAUCCUUAAAGUCAUCCUCAGUUCGGACUGGGGUCUGCAACCCGACCCCACCGAAGCUGGAUUCGCUAGUAAUCGCGCAUCAGCCAUGGCGCGGUGAAUACGUUCCCGGGCCUUGUACACACCGCCCGUCAAGCCAUGAAAGCCGGGGGCGCCUGAAGUCCGUGACCGCGAGGGUCGGCCUAGGGUGAAACCGGUGAUUGGGGCUAAGUCGUAACAAGGUAAC
rnacentral:rRNA from 1 species